GAUGAAGAACGUAGCGAAAUGCGAUAAGUAGUGUGAAUUGCAGAAUUCCGUGAAUCAUCGAAUCUUUGAACGCACAUUGCGCCUUCUGGUAUUCCGGAAGGCAUGCCUGUUCGAGAGUCAUUAACAACCGUUUCGAUCCCUUUCUUUCAGAAAUUACAAAGAGGAAAAGGGUUUGGUUAUGGUGGAGGAGGGAAAGGGAGCGUUUAGCCUGUAAAAAAAGAGGCUGUGUUCCGCCUCCCCCCCAAAAUUGUACAGGCGGUCGUGUGCGCCCACGCAUCGAGGUGUUGUAAAGCUGCCACGGCACUUUUCACCUGUGCAGUGCGAGAUUGGCCAGCCGGUUUAAAAACCCCUCCAAACAAUCAAAGGUUGACCUCGGAUCAGGUAGGGAUACCCGCUGAACUUAAGCAUAUCAAUAAGCGGAGGA
rnacentral:misc_RNA from 1 species